UACAGAGGGUGCAAGCGUUAAUCGGAAUUACUGGGCGUAAAGCGUGCGUAGACGGUUGCGUAAGUCAGAUGUGAAAGCCCCGGGCUCAACCUGGGAAUUGCAUUUGAGACUGCGUAGCUAGGGUGCGGAAGAGGGAAGCGGAAUUUCCAGUGUAGCGGUGAAAUGCGUAGAUAUCGGAAGGAACACCAGUGGCGAAAGCGGCUUCCUGGUCCAGCACCGACGUUCAGGCACGAAAGCGUGGGGAGCAAACAGG
rnacentral:rRNA from 1 species